CCUGCAUGUCUAAGUAUGAACGCUUCUAUACUGUGAAACUGCGAAUGGCUCAUUAAAUCAGUUAUAGUUUAUUUGAUGGUUCCUUGCUACUUGGAUAACCGUAGUAAUUCUAGAGCUAAUACAUGCAGAAAGUCCCGACUUUUGGAAGGGAUGUAUUUAUUAGAUCCAAAACCAGCGCGAGUCUCCUCGUGGGUCUCGGUUGCUCGGUGAUUCAUGAUAACUGCUCGAAUCGCAGGGCCUUUGUGCCGGCGAUGAUCCAUUCAAAUUUCUGCCCUAUCAACUUUCGAUGGUACGGUAGUGGCCUACCAUGGUUGCAACGGGUGACGGAGAAUUAGGGUUCGAUUCCGGAGAGGGAGCCUGAGAAACGGCUACCACAUCCAAGGAAGGCAGCAGGCGCGCAAAUUACCCAAUCCCGACUCGGGGAGGUAGUGACAAUAAAUAACAAUGCCGGGCUAUCGUAGUCUGGCAAUUGGAAUGAGUACAACGUAAAUCCCUUAACGAGGAACAAUUGGAGGGCAAGUCUGGUGCCAGCAGCCGCGGUAAUUCCAGCUCCAAUAGCGUAUAUUAAAGUUGUUGCAGUUAAAAAGCUCGUAGUUGGAUUUCGGGGCAGUCCGUCUGGUCCGCCGCGAGGCGAGCACUGGUCGGGCGCCCUUCCUCUCGGAGGCCCCGACUGCUCUUGGUUGCAGUGGUCGGGGAGUUCGGGACGUUUACUUUGAAAAAAUUAGAGUGUUCAAGGCAGGCCGCCGCCUGAAUACAUUAGCAUGGAAUAAUGGAACAGGACCUCGGUCCUAUUUUGUUGGUUUCCAGGGCCGAAGUAAUGAUUAAGAGGGACAGUUGGGGGCAUUCGUAUUUAAUUGUCAGAGGUGAAAUUCUCGGAUUUAUGAAAGACGAACAACUGCGAAAGCAUUUGCCAAGGAUGUUUUCAUUAAUCAAGAACGAAAGUUGGGGGUUCGAAGACGAUCAGAUACCGUCGUAGUCCCAACCAUAAACUAUGCCGACUAGGGAUCGGCGGAUGUUAGCGUUUGACUCCGUCGGCACCUUAGGAGAAAUCAAAGUGUUUGGGUUCCGGGGGGAGUAUGGUCNCAAGGCUGAAACUUAAAGGAAUUGACGG
rnacentral:rRNA from 1 species